ACUUAGCGGCGGACGGGUGAGUAACGCGUGGGUAACCUGCCUUAUACAGGGGGAUAACAGUUAGAAAUGACUGCUAAUACCGCAUAAGCGCACGGGAACGCAUGUUUCUGUGUGAAAAACUGAGGUAGUAUAAGAUGGGCCCGCGUCUGAUUAGCUAGUUGGUGGGGUAACGGCCUACCAAGGCGACGAUCAGUAGCCGGCCUGAGAGGGUGACCGGCCACAUUGGGACUGAGACACGGCCCAAACUCCUACGGAAGGCAGCAG
rnacentral:rRNA from 1 species